GUCUCUUUCUCUGUCCCUCCACUGUUCAUGUUGCCUGUCCCUUUCUCCAAAAAUAAAUAAACAAAUGAGAAAAAAUGAAAACUAUGCAUGGAAAAGGGAACUCUGCUCAUUGGGUAUAGGUGUGAGUUGUGGUGCUUGCUCUAAAAACACCUCCCAAAUGUUACGUUUUCAUUGACUCAUGACAUUAGUCAGUAGGCUUGCAGUAUAGUCUGGGACAUGGCAGUAGGAAAAUUAGAUGAUCAAGUCUCAGACUUGGUGGGGACAAAUAUUAUGGCAGAAGAAUGCACAAGACCCAUGCCUUCUGUUCACAACCCAUGUGGAUGCCUAUGGGAAAGGACUGUGGGAGGAUAAACAGAAAUGCAAUCAACAAGCUGAUUUGGCCUGAACUUCCCAAGUAAGGACUGUAGCCACAUGGAUAUACUAUCACAGAGGGAAUGGCAAUCCAUUUACAAGUCAGGACUGGGCGUGAAAAUAAGCUGUUGUGAUUUUAGCACCUGAGACCAAGGAAGCCUGGCACACAUGCCCAAACUGCUAACUACACACUUAAGUAGCAAGUGGAACUCAAGGACACAUAAUCUGGGGCACUGGUCUUGGCAAAUGGACUACGUAAUUAAUCCUCUUAUUCUUCGUCCCCCCCCCCCCCCGCCGCUUCCAUGUCUACUUCCUGGGAAACUGGGGUACUGGGGUUUGUGAAUAUAAAAGAAGAGCCAGGGAGUGGAAGAAUCUAACUUGGUGUUUUGUUUUGCUCCCAAACUAAGUUUCCUGGAUUUGGACUGUUAUGGAUGAUGAUAAUGAUCAUGGAUAUGGAAUGACAACUCUAAAGUGCUCCUAGUCUGGCCCAGAGGAUGGGAGGUGUUCUAGGGUGUUACAUGUUGGGCAAGAAAGAAACUGCUGAGCCACCUGGAAAUGAUUCUGGACAUAUGGUGAUCGAAGACCUCAUUGAUCCACUUAACAAACAAGAUAUGAGUAACCCAAGCUUUGCUGUUGGACCUCCACAUAACGUUUAACUGGCUCUUCUGCACCUUGCAUUUCUUGAAGGCUCAUGGAUUCCUGGAAUGAUACACAAGCAAAGGCUUGACUUUGAAAUCCCCAUUUGCAUUAGCAUAACACAUGAGGAGAAGAAAACUGAGGUUCACAGAAAGCCUAUAUGAUCAAGUUUCCACAAUUCACAAGGAGUAGAACUGGGACAUGAACCCAGAUAAACUUGAUGCAAAUUUGCUGAACAUCUACUACCACAAGGAAUGACCAAUAAUGUUAAUAUUUUUUUGUCUUAAACCCAAUCCUACAUCAUUAAUUGUGUGAAAUAAAGCCACCAUAGAAACUCCCAUAUCAUAGAGUAUCAUGGGGACUUAAUUUUUUCUAAUUACUGAUGUAAUAUGUGUGGGGUUCAGAGAUUUUGAAAAAUAUAGCCAAUAUGUAAGAGGAGCCAUUGCUAAAAUUUGGUUAUAGAGUUUCUAAGAUUUUGUUCUUUGUUUAUAUGUACAGAUUUUAAGCAAAUGUAGAAACAUAUUGCUUUGUUACUUUUUCUUUAACAUAAUAAUACUGUAUAUUGACCAGUGUUUUCGGUGACAAUAAAUACUAAUGUUUAA